rnacentral:rRNA from 1 species
UACGUAGGGUGCGAGCGUUGUCCGGAAUUACUGGGCGUAAAGAGCCCGUAGGUGGUUUGUCGCGUUGUUCGUGAAAACUCACAGCUUAACUGUGGGCGUGCGGGCGAUACGGGCAGACUGGAGUACUGCAGGGGAGACUGGAAUUCCUGGUGUAGCGGUGAAAUGCGUAGAUAUCAGGAGGAAUACCGGUGGCGAAAGCGACUCUCUGGACGGCAACUGACGCUGAGGCACGAAAGCGUGGGGAGCAAACAGG